AACAACGUAUUUAUUGCAAUUUUUUGCACCACAGACAAUUGUAGCCGCCUCCAGCGCGAAGGGUGUAUUGCCUGUGGUAUAAGGCCCGUAUAGUAGUGAUAAUUACUUCUUGAAGAGAGUAAAUUUGCGUUUGAGUAGGCGUCUUAGUCUGAAAGUUGGUCACAGUGAAAUCAACGUUUUAGUUGCACCAGAAAUUUUAUCUGGAAAUAGUUGAAUUGUUACCGGUGAAGCAACUGCUCGACAGUCAGGAGGCUCCCUGGAAGACAAGGACCUGAGCAGGCUGUCAAACCUAUCAAAUUUCAAAAGUUCAUUCGGUUUUUAUGUUUUCGCCAAAAUGUGUAUUUUUUGCAGAUUCUAGUCAACUGAGUAGGGGCAAAUAUUUUAAAAAUCCUUCACGUCUAGUUUAAAAAAUAUAAACAGCUGCGGUCCCCUAAUAUAUUUUCAACAUAAAAACGCCAAAAAUUUUAAGAUUUUGGUGAAAUCCGUCGCCCUGGUUAUCACUGCCGCCAGUCAAAUUUUCAGGAAAAAAGGCCAGACGUGAAUAGAUAAAUUGUAUUUUGAGACAGA